CUGCCUGACUGCAGCCCCUGUGUUCUGUUCCUACAGUGCAUUCUUGGACACUUUGCAGGGCCAGGAGCAGAACUGGUCAACUCAGUGCCUGGCCAGGGUCUGUGGAGAGAUCCACUCCCAGGUCCCACCCGGAAGAUGCCCCCCAGCGCCAGCGCCGUGGACUUCUUCCAGCUCUUCGUCCCUGACAACGUCCUCAAGAACAUGGUGGUGCAGACCAACCUGUACGCCAAGAAGUUCCAGGAGCGGUUCGGGAGCGACGGCGCCUGGGUGGACGUGACGCUGCCGGAGAUGAAGGCGUUCCUGGGCUACGUCAUCUCCACCAGCACCUCCCACUGCGAGUCGGUCCUCAGCAUCUGGAGCGGCGGCUUCUACAGCAACCGCAGCCUCGCGCUGGUCAUGAGCCAGGCCCGCUUCGAGAAGAUCCUCAAGUACUUCCACGUCGUGGCCUUCCGCUCCAGCCAGACCACACACGGCCUCUAUAAGGUCCAGCCCUUCCUGGACUCCCUGCAGAGCGGCUUCGAUUCUGCCUUCAGGCCUUCCCAAACCCAGGUGCUACAUGAACCCCUGAUUGACGAGGACCCCGUGUUCAUUGCCACAUGCACGGAGAGGGAGCUGCGGAAGAGGAAAAAGCGGAAAUUUAGCCUCUGGGUCCGGCAGUGCUCUUCCACCGGCUUCAUCAUCCAGAUUUAUGUCCACCUGAAGGAAGGCGGUGGCCCUGAUGGGCUGGAUGCACUGAAGAACAAGCCCCAGCUGCACAGCAUGGUGGCCAGGAGCCUGUGCCGGAACGCGGCCGGGAAGAACUACAUCAUCUUCACUGGGCCCAGCAUCACCAGCCUGACCCUGUUUGAAGAGUUUGAAAAGCAAGGGAUCUACUGCUGUGGCCUGCUCAGCUCCAGGAAGAGUGACUGCACCGGCCUGCCGCCCUCCAUGCUAAGCAGCCCAGCCACACCACCUGCCCGGGGCCAGCACAGCAUCCGGAUGAAGGGGAGCAUGUCCCUGAUCUGCUGGUACAACAAGGGGCACUUCCGCUUCCUGACCAAUGCCUACUCGCCCAUGCAGCAAGGAGCGAUCAUCAAGAGGAGGAGCGGGGAGAUCCCCUGCCCGCUGGCCGUGGAGGCCUUCGCGGCCCACCUCAGCUACAUCUGCAAGUACGACGACAAGUACAGCAAGUAUUUCAUUUCUCAUAAACCGAACAAGACCUGGCAACAGGUGUUCUGGUUUGCCGUCAGCAUAGCCGUCAAUAACGCCUACAUUCUGUACAAGAUGUCAGAUGCCUACCACGUGAAGAGGUACAGCCGGGCCCAGUUUGGUGAGAGACUCGUGCAAGAGCUGCUGGGCCUGGAGGAUACCUCUCCAAGCCUCUGAUGUCCUGGGCGUGGCCCGGGCUAGGCUUUGGGAUGUUCUUCCGUGUCGUCACUCCGUUAAUCGCAAGUGUUGCUGGCGGCAUGCUCCGGAUCACAUCGUAUCUGUACCCAGUUCACGACGGCCACCUCGCCCUGUGGCUUUAACUCGAUGCCACGGAUUGUAGGCCGAAUUUUAAAUUGUGUUUCAAAACACCUUUGCCGUGUCCUUUAAUUGGAUUGAAAGAACUUUUACCACAUGGAGAAAUCUAUUUUUAAUUUGUGAUGCUUUUCUACAAGGUCCACUAUUUCUGAGUUUAAUGCAUUUCCAACACUUAGGGAGACUAAUGGAAGCUGAUGAAUUUUCUUUUCUGUCCAAGUAAGUAAAAGAAAAAAUAAAAGUCUAUUUAGAUGUUGACUCUUUGUUAAU
rnacentral:lncRNA from 1 species